rnacentral:rRNA from 1 species
CUGGUAGUCCACGCCCUAAACGAUGUCAACUGGUUGUUGGGAGGGUUUCUUCUCAGUAACGUAGCUAACGCGUGAAGUUGACCGCCUGGGGAGUACGGCCGCAAGGUUGAAACUCAAAGGAAUUGACGGGGACCCGCACAAGCGGUGGAUGAUGUGGUUUAAUUCGAUGCAACGCGAAAAACCUUACCUACCCUUGACAUGUCUGGAAUCUUGAAGAGAUUUGGGAGUGCUCGAAAGAGAGCCAGAACACAGGCGCUGCAUGGCCGUCGUCAGCUCGUGUCGUGAGAUGUUGGGUUAAGUCCCGCAACGAGCGCAACCCUUGUCAUUAGUUGCUACGAAAGGGCACUCUAAUGAGACUGCCGGUGACAAACCGGAGGAAGGUGGGGAUGACGUCAGGUCAUCAUGGCCCUUAUGGGUAGGGCUACACACGUCAUACAAUGGCCGGGACAGAGGGCUGCCAACCCGCGAGGGGGAGCUAAUCCCAGAAACCCGGUCGUAGUCCGGAUCGUAGUCUGCAACUCGACUGCGCGAAGUCGGAAUCGCUAGUAAUCGCGGAUCAGCUUGCCGCGGUGAAUACGUUCCCGGGUCUUGUACACACCGCCCGUCACACCAUGGGAGCGGGUUCUGCCAGAAGUAGUUAGCCUAACCGCAAGGGGGGCG